ACCUGGAUGAUCCUGAGUGGUCUGGGGUUCAGGCUUCCAACCUGUAGCUGUCUAGCAACAGAGUGGUUCAAUUUCUCCUUUUGGGGG
rnacentral:tRNA from 1 species